AGGUCUACAUUUUAGCUGCAUCAUGUCACUUACAAAAUAAUUUUUUGGGGGACAUUGUGAUUCAGUGGGGUCAGCCUCUGCCUGAGAUGCUUGCAUCUCAGAUGGAGUGCAAGUUCAAGUAAUGGCUACUCCACUCCCCAUCCAGCUCCCUACUAAUGUAUCCUAGGAGGCAGCAGAUGAUGACCCAAGUACUUGAAUUCCUGCCAGGAAUUUUUUCCUAAUGACUUAUUUAUUCAAAAGGCAGAGUUAGAGAGAGGGAGAAGGAGAGACAGAGGGAGACCUUCCCUCUGCUGGUUCAUUCCCCAGAUGGCCACAACAGCUAGGAUUGAGCCAGCAUGAAGCUAGGAGCUUCUUCCAGGUCUCCCACAAGGGUGCAGGGGCCCAAGCACUUGGGCCAUCCUCCACUGGUUUCCCAGAUGCAUUAGCUAAGCUGCAGCGCCAGCCCCUACCCAUUCUUAACACAAAGAGCAGAUUUACCACACAGAUUUCCUAAACAUUUGCAGGCCGGGCAGUAUUUGGAGCAGGGGCUACUAUGCUAAGACUAGCCUUCAACCUCCUUGAGAACUGUUCACAGCUGGGGAGGGUGGUGCACAGAGAACAAGGCGAUUAGGAUAUCAAUGGGCAAAAUCAUGGAAAAUGUGGGGAAGCCUGGGCCAAGUCUCAAAAAGUGCAGUGCAAAGCAGGAACGGGCCCGCUGGCAUCUGACAGAAGGGUCGCGGGACCAGUGGAGGACUGGGCCAUCUAACAGUUGUGAUCUUGUGGGCUACGUUGGGCCUAAAUUCCUAUUCCAGACGCUUGCCUUUUACUUAGAGAUUUCUAAGUACAGGCACAAACAUGACGUGUGCAACGCUACAAUAUUUACUUACAAAGUGAGGAAAAUACACUUGUGUGCUUAAUUUAGGGAAAGUGGGUCAGAAAAGGUAAAGACGGACUUUCAUCCCCUGCUUGCUCAGGGUCCGCGAGAAGAGAGAAGCGAGCUUCUUACAGAAAACGGAAGUAUUUACAUAGUACUGUCCCCAAGUCCCGGGCAAGGGGAAGUACUUCCUGGGGGAGGGGUCAUCUGAUUGACAGGUGGGUAGAUAACAGUUACGCAGAAUGGAUGCGGUGUGGCUAACGGCCCCCUGACUUUACCCGGCCUUUGGGCAGUAAAAACUUGAGACUGCGCUUUGUUGGAGCCUCGCUGGUUUUUCUGCUCCGGUCCUCCAAAUCCUUGAGCUUGUGGCCUUUGGCGUGAGUGGGGCCAUGAUGCCGCACGGGAGCAUCCUACUAAUGCACCUGAGAAGGCAGUGGAGGAUGGCCUGAGCGCUUCAGCACCACCUAUCCAUGUGGGAGGGAGGCCCAGAUGCAGUUCCUGACUCCUGGUUCAGUCUACACCAGUACCGGGCAUUGCAGCCAUUUGGAGAGUAAACCAGAGGAUGUCAGAGCAACUCUACAUCCUCCUGACAGAUGGAAGCAGAGAACACACCUGGACUGCAGUGCAGACUGGCUUGAAACUUGACUCUGACCAUUACAGCUUGGUCCAGACAGAGUGAGUGGGAUGAAAUCUUCCCAUUACCGUGAAGUAAUUGGAGAGAGCAGAGCAGAAUCCAAUGACGGUGCUGUGCUGCAGUGGUUCAUUUUGAGAUGCAUUCCACAGGCUUCAAUCCAUUCCCCCCAGAUUCUGUGCAGGAGCCAUAACAAGUCAUAUCAAACACUUUUCUCCUUGAAUGGAUAAAGAAUUAGUAGGACAUCCCUCAGUGGACUGCUACUCAGCACCAAAAAGGAAGUUACUACUGAUACACACAACAUGAGCAAAUCCCCAAAACUUCAUGUUGAUACUCAGAUGCCAUUCUUCCCAGGACACUGUGUGGUAUGGUGGAAAGGAUAAAGACUUGCAUAGAUGCUCAAGAGACUGGCUUCCCCUCAUGAGCUGUAUGACCUACAGACAACAACUCAGUUUCUCUGGCUCUUGAUUUCUUCUUGUCUGAAAUAUGAAUAUCACAUACCAUACAAUUCUUGAAAUCCUUAAGAAUAUGGACAGCACAGCAGUAUCGUUCACAAUAGCCAAUGAUGGAAACAGCCCAAGGGUCCAUUGAGAGAUGAGUGCAUGGAUGACACGUGGCGGAUAUGAGGAAACUUCAAAGACUUCAUAGAAAUAUGAAAUUUAAAGGUUCUUUUGUGGCUACUAUUCCAGUUUCCAAGAAGUCUGCUUGCAUGUCUGCUGUCUUAGCAAUAUUUGUUGCCUAAUCCUGUGGCCAUGGAUGCCACAAUGAUAGAUCACAUCUGGAGUCCACGGAUGGCCUAGACUCUCACAGCAUGGAGGAAAAGUCCAUCGACAUGAACAGACAAACCAUCCUCACCCCUUGUUGCAGCCACAUGAGAUGGAAUGAACGAUAUCUCCAGAAUAUUGAUCCAGAGGGAGGUUGGCCACUGAAAAUACCCUUGUUUUUUCAGCAUCAGAGGUAAGAAGCAGAAGCCAACGUUUUGGUAGUAAUUCUCAACAACCCCUACAUAACUACUACUGUAAGUUAUUCUCCCUGGGCAGUUGGAAAAGGAAUAUAACUUUUGGAAAACUAUUUACUUCCUUUUGUAAUUUUACUCCCAGAUCUCAUGGAUGUUUCUCUCUCAGGUAAUGUUAGGCAUGACAGGUAAGGUUUACAGAUGUAAUUGCUCAUAAGGACAGUGUUGAUGCCCACAGCAGAUUCAGCAUCUAGGGAGAAAGGGGCUCUGGAUACAGCAGCCAUUACUGUCUGCCUUCAGUGUGUUGUGGAAUCAGUUGCAUGUGCAUAAUGUUACAAUGUACAUCAGUCUCCUAUUUCCUAGGCAUGUUCCCCUACUAAAUCUUGAGCUGCUAUUUACUUCAGUUACAUGGCUACCUCAUUGGACAAAAGUGAGGUCUGCUCAGUUCUGGCCUCUAGAACUGGUCUGGGCAGAGGCCAUAUCCUUAGACUUGACCUCACUCCACAGCCACGACAUUGGGUCAAGCCAGCCAGACACAUGCCCAGAGUUUGAAGCUCCUCUUAGCACAUCAGGACCUGGUGAAAGACCAGGCUAUAGGGAUAAGAUCUUGUAAGGUGAAGUUGCUUGGUGGGGCUGUCAGAUGAGAGCUUCAGAGUGCGAGAGAGUUAACUACCCAACAGGCAAUGAUGGGAAAACAAGUCAGGAGGGAGCCAGGCAAAUAUACUCUCUUCUGCACUUUGUGUUGACUGUUUCAAGGCACACUUUCUUUUUUCUUUUUUUUUAAAAAAGAUUUAUAUAUAUAUAUUUAUUUAUUUGAAUGGCAGAGUUAAAGGUAGGCAGAGGCAGAGAGAAAGAGAGAGAUCUUCCAUAAAGUGGUUCACUCCACAGAUGGCUCCAAUGGCCAGAGCUGGGCCUAUCCAAAGCCAGGAGCCAGGAGCCAGGAGCCAGGAGCCAGGAACUUCUCCUGGGUCUCCCACAUGGGUGCAGGGGCCCAAGGACUUGGACCAUCUUCAACUGCUUUCCCAGGCCACAGCAGAGAGCUGGAUCGGAAGUAGAGCAGCCGGGUCUCGAACUGGUGCCUGUAUGGCACCACUAUGCCACAGCGCUGGCCUCCACAGUUUUUUUUAAAUAUGAAACUUUUAUUUAAUAAAUAUAAAUUUUGAAAGUACAACUUUUGGAUUAUAGUGGUUCUUCCUACCAUAACCACCCUCCCACCCACAAACCAUCCUAUCUCCUACUCCCUUUCCCAUCCCAUUCUUCAUUAAGAUUCAUUUUUAAUUAUCUUUAUAUACAGAAGAUCAACUCUAUACUAAGUAAAGAUUUCAACAGUUUGCAUUCACAUAGACACACAAAGAAUAAAGUACUGUUUGAAGACAAAGGGAUCACAUAAAUAAAACCAGUGCCUGCUAAUAAUAAUAGAUAGAAUUAAAAAGGUGAGAACAAUCCAACAUGGGAAGCAGAUACACAGCAGACUCAUAGAAUGGCAAAUGCCCUAAACAUCACUCUGGCCUCAGAAUCAGCCCUUAAGGCAUUUGGGUCUGUCUUUUAAAGCCAAUGAGAGUUUCCCAGGCAUGGAAAGCCAAGAUACUGUGGCAAAAAAUGACCUGAAUGAAAGAUCUCUGUGAGUAAGAUCCCGGUAGAAAGAACGGGCCAUCAAAGAAGGAGGUACCUUUCUCUGAAGGGAGGAGAGAACUUCCACUUUGACUAUGGCCCUGUCUAAAUAAGAUCAGAGUUGGUGAACUCAAGAGGCUUCCAUAGCCUUGGCAGCUCAUGACGAGAGCGUCGGGUGAUUACUGACGCCAUAAACAAGAGUGUCAAUUGUUAAAUCAACAACAGGAGUCACUGUGCACUUACUCCCCAAGUAGGACCUCUGCCCUUAAUGGUGAAACUAGUCCCCACAGUUUCUUUUUGUGUCUUGUCGAGAGAAGACCCAUACCCAGGUCUGUUGGGUUUGCUGAACUGUCUUGCUUCACUGCUUGCGAAGAGUUGAGAGUCAUCUACAGCAUCACUUCACGGUGAUUCGCACCUUUGCUUUCUUCACUUCCCUUUUCUUCAUUCCUCAUUCUCUUGUUGUGCACCUCUCCAGGGAUGCAUCCGCACUUCAUUCCUUGCUGAAGGCUCCGUUUUCUAGAGAACGAGGCUAAGCUUUGUGGCAACUUUAACAGCUGAAGUCUUUGGAGUUGAUUAAAUGCAUUUCACAGUAUGGGGUGUGCUUCCUGAUUUAUAGCCUAUAUUAAGCCAAGGUAAAGCUUUUGAACGUCUGUGUUUGCUGUUGAAUUGACCAAAAAGGGCUAAAUGUAAUAUGCAUAUAAAAAUAGAAGUACAUAAUUGUAAGAUAUGUAAUUCACUUCCAAUAGUGAAGUAUAUUUACUGAAAUAGUUAAUUUCUUGAGUUUGCUUAGUCGUAAUGAAGGAGCAGUAUUCUCUGAUGGCAAGCAUAAUUUGGUGUUUUAAAACAUUUUUGUCUUGAUAAUUAUCCAUUUUAAUAUAAACAUUAGUUAACUGAAAUAAACAUUAUCAAAACCACUUCAUUUUAAAUGAUACACUGAUAUGCUUUAAAAUAGGUUAAUUAUAGUGACCAGCCAUGUAUGGUAAUCAACUUUUUAUAUUCUAUUUUUAUUUAGUUGAGUAUAGCCUCUUGUUAUUAAAUGGCUCUAUAUCCUUCACCUUUGCCUAAUAAUUAAAAGCAAGUGAAAUUAAUCCUCAGUAGGAAAAAAAAGAUUCUCCUUUUUGAAUUAUUUUUAAAGGUUUGUUUAUUUGAAAGAUGAAGUGACAGAGAGAGGAAGAAGGAGAGACAGAAGGACAGAGAGAGAGAGAGAGAGAUCUUCCAUCUGCUAGUUCACUGCACAGUAGCUGCAGCAGCUGGAGCUGGGCCAGGCUGAAGCCAGGACUUAGAACUUCAUCUGGUCUUCUUCAUGGGUGGCAGGGGCCCAAGUACUUUGGGCCAUCUUCUGUUUCUUUCCCAGGCACAUCAGCGGAAGUGGAGCAGCCUGCACCUUGACCUGGCACUUCGAUGUGGGGUGCUGGCCUUGCAGGUGGCGGCUUACCCUGCUGUGUGACAAUGCUGGCUCCCCUUGAACUAUUUUUUAUUAAGAAAAAUUAACAGAGAAAUAAAAAUUGUGAUUUUUAUAGGGCAUUAUGUAAUUUUUUUUACAUGUGUAACUUCUGUAAUAUUCAAUCAGGGUAAAUAUAUUUAUCCUUUCAAAUAUUUAACAUUUCUUUAUAGUGAAAGUAUCCAAACUCCAUUAUUCUUGGUUUUUAAAAGAGAGAGGGGCCAGUGCAGUGGCAUAGUGGGUAAGGCUGCUGUUUGCAAUGCCAGCAUCCCAUAUGGGCACCAGUUCUUUUCCUGGCUGCUCCAUUUCUGAUCCAGGUCUCUGCUAUGCCCUGGUAAAGCAGUAGAAGAUGGUCCAAGUUCCUUGGGCCUCUGCACCUGCAUGGGAGACCUGGAGGAAGCUCCUGGCUCCUGGCUUCAGAUCAGUCCAGCUCUGGCUGUUGCAAACAUUUGGAGAGUGAAUCAGUGAAUGGAAGAUUUUUCUGUCUCUAUCUAUGUCUCUGUCUCUUUUUCUUCCUCUCUCUCCUUCUCUCCCUUUCUCUCUACCUCUGUCUCUCUGUAACUCUGACUUUCAAAUAAAUAAAUAAAUCUUAAUAAAAUAAAAUAAAAUAGAAAAAUAUAUGGUACACUAUCUGUAGUCACCCUACUGUGUAAUAGAAGUCCAGAACUUCUUCUACCUUUCUAAUUACAACCUAGUACACCCAUCAAUCAACCUACACCCAUCAGUCAACCUUUCCCCAUUUCUUCUUCCAUACUUCCCUCCCCAGCCUCUGGUAACCACCAUUAUAUUUUGAACUUUAAUGAGAUCACCUAUUUUUAGACUCCACAUGUGAGUAUGAUCAUGUGCUAUUUAUUCUGUGCUUGAAUUUUUUAAAAUUUUUCAUGAUAAUCUCCACUUCCAUUCAUAUUGUUGUCAAUGGCACGAUUCCAUCUUUAUAUGUUUGAAUAAUAUUCAUACACACUCAGACACAUACACACACAUACAAAAUACAUUUUCUUUCCUCUCCUUGGUAGAUGGCUUCUUAGAUUGUUUCCUUUUCUUGGCUAUUGUGAAUAGUGUGGCAAUAAAUACAUUAGUGCAGAUGUUUCUUUGACAGUUGGAUUUUAUUUCCCUUGGAUAUAUACCUAGAAGUGGGAUUGUUGGAUCAUUUGGUAGUUACAUUUUCAUUUUUUGAGGACCCUCUAUAUUGUUGUAUGGAGGAACCUCUAUAGCUCUUGUGAAGCUGACUUUGUGUGUGUGUAUGUGUGUGUACGGCUGUUCAUGUUGUUGUCUCUGCAGUGAGGUGGUUGGUCACUGGAGCCUCUUACUCAGCUACCAUUUUGGUUCCAGGCACGAUACACUCAAGCCUUUUAUUCCUUUUUUAAAUUUUUAUUUAUUUUUUAUUUUUUUAACAGGCAGAGCGGACAGUGAGAGAGAGAGACAGAGAGAAAGGUCUUCCUUUUGCCUUUGGUUCACCCUCCAAUGGCCACCACAGCUGGCGCAUCGCGCUGAUCCGAAGCCAGGAGCCAGGUGCUUCUCCUGGUCUCCCAUGCAGGGGCAGGGCCCAAGCACUUGGGCCAUCCUCCACUGCACUCCCUGGCCACAGCAGAGAGCUGCACUGGAAGAGGGGCAACCGGGACAGAAUCUGGUGCCCCGACCGGGACUAGAACCUGGUGUGCUGGUGCCGCAGCCUUUUAUUUCUAUGUCAAGGUUUCAUUUCCUUUUUUUCUUUUUUUUAAGAUUUUUUAUUUAUUUAUUUGAGAGGUAGAGUUACAGAGCGUGAGAGGAAGAGACAGAGAGAAAGGUCUUCCCUCUGCUGGUUUACUCCUCAAAUGGCUGCAACGGCUGCAGCUGUGCCGAUCUGAAGCCAGUAGCCAGGAGCUUCUUCCCAUUCUCCCACGUGGAAGCAGGGGUCCAAGCACUUGGGCUGUCUUCCACUGCUUUCCCAGGCCAUAGCAGAGAGCUGGAUUGGAAGAGAAGCAGCUGGGACUAGAACCAGUGCCCAUAUGGGAUGCUGGUGCUGCAGGUGGAGGAUUAACCCACUGUGCCAUGGUGCCGGCCCCAAAGUUUCAUUUUUUUUUUUUUUGACAGAUAGAGUUAGAUAGUGAGAGAGAGAGAGGGAAAGGUCUUCCUUCCAUUGGUUCACCUCCCAAAUGGCUGUUACAGCCAGCGCUGCGCCAAUCAGAAACCAGGAGCCAGGUGCUUCCUCCUGGUCUCCCAUGCAGGUGCAGGGCCCAAGCACUUGGGCCAUCCUCCACUGCCCUCCCGGGCCACAGCAGAGAGCUGGACUGGAAGAGGAGCAACCAGGACUAGAACCCGGUGCCCAUAUGGGAUGCUGGCGCCGCAAGGCGGAGGAUUAACCAAGUGAGCCAUGGCGCCGGCUCCCCAAGGUUUCAUUUCUAAGAAAUGAUUUUUUUAAAAUUUAUUUUUUUAUUUUUAGUUUUUUGACAGGCAGAGUGGACAGUGAGAGAGACAGAGACAGAGACAGAGAGAAAGGUCUUCCUUUUCCUUUGGUUCACCCCACAAUGGCCACUGCAGCUGGCGUGCUGUGGCCGGCGCACCACGCUGAUCCGAGGCCAGGAGCCAGGUUCUUCUCCUGGUCUCCCAUGGGGUGCAGGGCCCAAGCACUUUGGCCAUCCUCCUCUGCACUCCCUGGCCAUAGCAGAGAGCUGGCCUGGAAGAGGAGCAACCGGGACAGAAUCCAGCGCCCCGACUGGGACUAGAACCCGGUGUGCCGGCGCCGCAGGCAGAGGAUUAGCCUAUUGAGCCGCGGUGCAGGCCCUAAGAAAUGAUUCUUGUAAUUCUUGUGCUGUCCAUUUUGCAGCUCCUAGCACUGUAGAAAGUUACAGACAUUGAGUGUAGUGCUUUCUUCUGAUUGAAAUCUCACACUGUCUUCUCCUUUUGUACCAGAAAUAAGGGCCAUUGAGCAAAGAAGUUAUAAACCUAAUUUUCUCCUUAAGUAAAACUUUGAAUGUUUUAGAGUUGCAACUGAUGGACCUAACAAAAUGCAGUGCUGGAUUUUACAAUAACUUUCUCUGUGGGAACUCCGGAACCUAAGAAAUUGAAUGAUCUUUCACCUCAAAGAAAGUAAUUCUGCAUACGGUCGAUGGCUGGGGAAAGAAGUAAUUCUGUGUUAUAACAUUCACACUGAACCUGAUACUUACAAACUACUACUUCCUUUCUCUUUCUCUUUAACUGGUACAAGUAUUCACCAUUUUUAUGUGAAUUAUAUUUCCAUCUCCACUGAAAAUCAAUGAAGAUGUGUAUUGAUCAAUUAUAUAGGUUCAGCUUGAUUGCUCUAUUUAUUAAUCACUCUAAUAAUAGUGUUCCUAGAGAAAGCAGUAAAUUCAUUUUCAUUAUUUUUCAGUCUUGAAACUGAAAAGAGCCAACAUAAAUAUUAGUGACAUAAUUUGACAGUCAGGGUUCCCACAUUUCAACUUUCAAAGUAUCAUAGACAACAAGAGCAGAGCUUGUCUGGCCUUCCAUGCACUGAAUACAGACGCACACAUCCUCACACAUAAUGCGUCUGUAAGGAAACAUGUCACCUGUUGUUUGUAGAGAUGUUCUCAUAGGGGAAGUCUAGUUGCAGGUGCUAAACUAAUUGGAUCCCCAGGGCUUCCCUAAAUCCCCAUUCUGUGUACUGAUAGCUACAUUCUCACCCACUUCCUGAAAGUUGAAAACUUGGGCUAGGUUUUCGCUUGCUUUGGUUUUAAAUCUUAUUAUGCAGAAUAAUGAAGUUGGUUUUUAUCUGUCAAUAAAUAAGUCUUUUUUAUGUGAUUACUUUUCCCUUAAAAAGUUCAUUUUGUUAUUUCACUAGAUUGAUAUAUCUUGUGUGACUUUAACUUUUCCCAUUAAAUAUUUGUCAACAGUUUACCCGUUUUCCCAUUUAUAAGUGGUCAUUCACCUCAUAGGUAGCUGUUUCUAUUUAAAAACACAGUUCAUGUAAUUGGAACACACAGAAUUGAAAUGGAAACUAUUGCAUCUUUUUAAAUUUUCAUGUUUUAUAUUUCAUAAAAUUAACUCAUUUCUGAAGUAUAGUUGGAGAAAAUAUUAUAUAAAAAUUGGACUUCUAUGCUUUUAGGAUAGUUUUCUUAAAUACAAACAGAAGAAUGAUGUGAAAUAUAUACUAUCCAAAGAAAGACACAGUAUAUGAGAAAAAGAUUAUUCCUGUUAUUAUGGUUAAUGCUAAAGAAAACUUUAAUAAAGAAUAUGUUUACCUUCUUUAAAAUAGAAUGAACCCCUGGCACUACCUCUAUUGCAAGAGAAGAGGAAAAGAAAUUGCAUUAUUAUAGUUCCUUCCAGGGCAGAGCAGAUUAUUCUCUGUUGUAUUUAAGCAAGUAUCUUUGGAAUCCUGGGUGGUGGUGCAUUCUUUGCUUAGAUGAUCCCCCAAGCUGCCAUACUCUAGUAUAAACUCUUUGGAAAAUACUUGUACAAACCAUCCUGGGGCUGACUACACCUGAAGUCACCAAGAGAAAAAUGGAACCAACUAUAUAUAUAUUUUUUUCUUUAACUUUUAUUUAAUGAAUAUAAAUUUCCAAAGUACGGCUUAUGGAUUACAAUGGCUUCCCCCCCCAUAA